rnacentral:rRNA from 1 species
AGCGAGGAUGACGUCAAGUCAGCAUGGCCUUUAUAUCUUGGGCUACACACACGCUACAAUGGUCUGUACAAUAGGUUGCGAAGCCGCGAGGCGGAGCCAAUCCAGCAAACUUACCUCAGUUCAGAUUGCAGGCUGCAACUCGCCUGCAUGAAGUUGGAGUUGCUAGUAAACGCAGGUCAGCCAUACUGCGUUGAAUACGUUCCCGGGCUU